rnacentral:rRNA from 1 species
UCGCCUGUUUAUCAAAAACAUGUCUAUUUGGAGAUAUAAAAAGUCCGACCUGCCCACUGAUAAGAGUUUAAAGGGCCGCGGUAUAUUGACCGUGCAAAGGUAGCAUAAUAGUUAGGUUUUUAAUUGAGAUCUUGUAUGAAUGGUUUGACAAAGAAAAAUCUGUCUCUGUAUUUAUAAUUUGAAUUUAACCUUUAAGUGAAAAGGCUUAAAUUACUUAAGGGGACGAUAAGACCCUAUAAAACUUUAUAUAAUUUCUUUAUACUUAGUUGAAUUUUUGAUUAUAUAAAAAUUAUGUGUAUGAUUUGUAUUAUGUUGGGGCGACAAGGGUAAAAUUAAUAAUAACUGCUCAUUAGAUUAAACAAAUAUAUUUGUGUAAAUGUAAAUGAUCCUAAAUAAAGAUUAAAAGUUUAAGUUACUUUAGGGAUAACAGCGUUAUUUUUUUUGAGAGUUCUUAUCGAAAAAAGAGUUUGCGACCUCGAUGUUGAAUUAAAAUUUCUAUGCAAUUGCAGGAGUGUAUAAGAA